UGCUAAUUUUCAUCACAGAUGUGUAUCGUAAUAGCACGAAACAAGAGUAACCAUUGCCUCGGUAUAUAAUACUUGUCAGCUCUUUCAUUUAGUAAGUUACCCUUAAAGAUCUGAAAAUGUCUCAGUUUGUUGUCAUAGAUCUUAACCCAGCAAAAUAUAUAUGGAUCCCAGAUCUAAGAAAUCCAUUUGAACAUAUAACAGCCCGCUAGAUGAUUUCAAUUUAUCAUUUGUAGAUGUACUUCAUAGAAUACUCCAUGCUUGUGAAAGCAUACAAGAUGCAAUACUUUAUAUUUUCCAAACAUUAUUUUUGUACAGUGUUUAAUUAUUCACUUCAUAGUUAGUGAAUCUGACACGCCAUCAGUCCCUUUAAUACUCAUUAGUCACAGAUUAGUGCUUCUUUGUAAUCAAGGCUUGUUAUGUUAAACUAUUAUGCAGUGAAACUGGUCAAACUUAGAUGGUGCAAUCAAAAUUAUGUGUUAAUUUUUGUUUCGGACCAAACGAGUCAAAUGAAAAGACCAUUUUACAGUUUUUUUUACAGUAGAGAUCAUAACAUAUGAUCCAUGCUGAGAAUAGUUUCACAUAAAUACAUGUAUGUAUUUACUCAAUUAUAUACAAAUAAUAGAUUUUGUAGGUCUUUAUUAGACGUUAAUUGACAGCCCUAAAUGAAACCAGUGAAUCAUUUUUUUCAAUUUUCUUGCCUUUUUUGAAAAAUAAUUUUUAUGCAUUUUUUAUAAGCUUAUACUUAUGUAUGUAGUCAUUUCAAAAAGAAAUGACUGUUUAUUGUUGACACUGCAAACAGUACUUAGAAUUAGAAUUAUUAGUCAUGCUAUUGUGACAUAUCCUGUCAGCUUUUAGAAAAACAACUCCUUAAGUUUUGAGAAAAUAACUCAUGGUGCUGAUUUUUUUUUAUGUGCAAUUAAAGCUUCCGAUAAAAAAGUUAAAGUAUGUAUAUUUGUUGAGAAUAUGAUGUAAUUUUUUGAGGUGUUAUGACUGGGAGGAAAUAAUGAUAUGUGAAGAAGCUUUCAAUCCACACAAUGUAAAUUAUUAUUGUCAGUGUAUAUAAAGAACUAUUAUAUUUAUGCGACACAAAGAAUUUGGAAGACUUGCUAUUUUUGCAUUACAAAUUGAGAUUAUGUUUAUUCUGUUUAUUUCCACAGUCACUGUUUAUUUUGUGACCCAUUUUAUGCACAAGUUAUAUUUUUAAUUUAUGAUGCUAUGAAAUAAACAGUAAAGCUU
rnacentral:misc_RNA from 1 species